UACGUAGGGCGCAAGCGUUGUCCGGAAUUAUUGGGCGUAAAGAGCUCGUAGGCGGUCUGUUACGUCCGCUGUGAAAACCCAGGGCUUAACCCUGGGCUUGCAGUGGAUACGGGUAGACUAGAGGCAGGUAGGGGAGAAUGGAAUUCCCGGUGUAGCGGUGAAAUGCGCAGAUAUCAGGAGGAACACCGAUGGCGAAGGCAGGUCUCUGGGCUGACACUGACGCUCAUGCACGAAAGCGUGGGGAGCAAACAGG
rnacentral:rRNA from 1 species